CGUCAGAGGCUUUUUCUCUGGA
rnacentral:siRNA from 1 species